CCGGCCUACGGGGGGCAGCAGUAGGGAAUAUUGCUCAAUGGGGGAAACCCUGAAGCAGCAACGCCGCGUGGAGGAUGAAGGUUUUCGGAUUGUAAACUCCUUUUGUUAGAGAAGAUAAUGACGGUAUCUAACGAAUAAGCACCGGCUAACUCCGUGCCAGCAGCCGCGGUAAUACGGAGGGUGCACGCGUUACUCGGAAUCACUGGGCGUAAAGCGCGCGUAGGCGGGAUAGCAAGUCAGAUGUGAAAUCCUAUGGCUUAACCAUAGCACUCCAUUUGAAACUGUUAUUCUAGAGUGUGGGAGUG
rnacentral:rRNA from 1 species